rnacentral:rRNA from 1 species
GCAAUACUUGGUGGCGACCGGCGCACGGGUGAGUAACGCGUAUGCAACCUACCUAUCAGAGGGGAAUAACCCGGCGAAAGUCGGACUAAUACCGCAUAAAACAGGGACACCGCAUGGUGAUAUUUGUUAAAGAAAUUCGCUGAUAGAUGGGCAUGCGUUCCAUUAGGUAGUUGGUGAGGUAACGGCUCACCAAGCCGACGAUGGAUAGGGGAACUGAGAGGUUGGUCCCCCACACUGGUACUGAGACACGGACCAGACUCCUACGGGAGGCAGCAGUGAGGAAUAUUGGUCAAUGGGCGAGAGCCUGAACCAGCCAAGUCGCGUGGAAAAGGAAGAAGGAUCUAUGGUUCGUAAACUUCUUUUGCAGGGGAAUAAAGUGCAGGACGUGUCCUGUUUUGUAUGUACCCUGAGAAUAAGGAUCGGCUAACUCCGUGCCAGCCGCAGC